UAUCUCGCAUAAUUCGAAAUUCCCGAAGAGUACGUCGUGCAGCCUCAAGUUCAAGGUUAUUCUGCCUCAGCUGGUCCUCAUAGUAAUAUUGAUACCCGCGUUGACGGCCAAGAGGGCCAGGAGAGAAUGCACCCCUAUAAGUUCCAUAAGCUAAUGUUUUUGCUAUUUCAAAUCUUCGGGGAUUGACUUCAAACUCCAUAAAACUCUGAAAAUUGAGGUAUUGUUAAGAAAUGAAAGCCUAUGUAUAUAUCCAUAUGAAUAUUUAACAGACUGAAUAUUGUCAAAGAAUCCAUCUGAGUACCUUUCUAAGGCGGUCGAAAGUUGUACGACGACCAGAGUCCCUCGGACUAAAACUCCAAAGGAGGCAAUCAUUGUAAAAGCGAUAGGUCAUGCAAUUGGGAGAGCAGAGUAAGUCGUUACGGGAGCACGUGGGACAAGGUCGGUGUGGAAAUGGUUUAGAGUUGGCAGGAUCACCGGGCACCGCCU
rnacentral:lncRNA from 1 species